rnacentral:rRNA from 1 species
GUCUACGGCCAUGCUACCCUGAACAAGCCUGAUCCUGUCUGAUCUCGGAAGCUAAGCAGGGUUGGGCUUGGUUAGUACCUGGAUGGGAGACCACUAAGGAGACCAGGUAAAUGAAGGAU